CUCGUAGGCGGUUCAGUAAGUCGGGUGUGAAAACUUUGGGCUUAACCCAAAGCGUGCAUCCGAUACUGCUGUGACUUGAGUACGGUAGGGGAGCGGGGAAUUCCUAGUGUAGCGGUGAAAUGCGCAGAUAUUAGGAGGAACACCGGUGGCGAAGGCGCCGCUCUGGGCCGAAACUGACGCUGAGGAGCGAAAGCAUGGGUGCAAACA
rnacentral:rRNA from 1 species